GGUCUCUGUGUUUAUUGUUCUCAACUGAAAGAGAAGCUUCUCUGAGAACAGACUGAUGAAUCCACAAUUUAUGGAUAUGUCUGUUUUAUUCUAAUGAGAGGCAGAAAGAGAGUGGAUCCUGGAGUGGAGUGACGUGUGGAGGAAAUGAGAGAAAUGGAAGGAGGGGAAACUGAAAUCAGGAUAUUUUGUAUGAGAAAAGAUUUCAUUUCUAAUAAAAAUGAUAAAGGA